rnacentral:rRNA from 1 species
AGAGUUUGAUCCUGGCUCAGCCUGAACGCUGGCGGCGUGGCUAAGACAUGCAAGUCGCACGGUGUAGCGUAGCAAUACGCUGCACAGUGGCGAACGGGCGAGUAAUGAAUCGCUAACGUACCCCGGACUCUGGGAUAGCUAACCGAAAGGUUAGGUAAUACCAGAUGAUAUAACCCUUCCGCAUGGUUGGGUUCUCAAAGGUCCGCCGGUCUGGGCGCGGGCGAUUUCGUAUCAGCUAGUUGGUGGGGUAACGGCCCACCAAGGCGACGACGCGUAACCGGACUGAGAGGUUGGCCGGUCACAUUGGGACUGAGACACUGCCCAGACUUCUACGGGGGGCUGCAGUAACGAAUCUUCCGCAAUGCACGAAAGUGUGACGGAGCGACGCCGCGUGUAGGACGAAGCCCUUCGGGGUGUAAACUACUGUCAGGGGUUAGAAAGUUCUGAUCAACCCCAGAGGAAGGCACGGCUAACUCUGUGCCAGCCGCCGCGGUAAUAC